rnacentral:lncRNA from 1 species
AAUGAUAUAUAGCAUAUGUUGUGAUAAAAAUUAAUCCAAUCCCAAGUUCCCAACUACCCUAAACACCGUAGUGAUAAGUUAACCAUAGUCAAAAUGGUGUAAAGUUUGCAACUUACAUAUACAAAAUUGCAGGGUCAGCCAGGCGUAAUGUCCUGUAUAUACAAAAUAUCUAGUUAGCAGACAAGGAAAGGACCGUGUGCCUUCAACUUGCCACCCCUAGUCGUGCGUCGUGAUCUUUCCACGAGAAACAAGCAUCAAGUUUCACGAGGCCGGCUGAUUAAGCAGUUUUUGGCAUCCAGCAGCUGAUACAAGUUUGAAGCUUGCAACAAAUUUACCGGCGCCUUCUAUCUGCAAAUUAUGUGAGACAUUAGAUGAAAUAGUCUGGUCGAAAAUAUGUGUGUGUGGAUAAAGAAAGAAAUAAGCCAGAAAUAAGCCUUUAAUUUUGGGCUCAUCACGACCACUUCUCUAUUGCAAUUUGCAUGGCUGCAACCAUCAUCAUAAAUCUAGCAUGAGAAAAGGAGGCAAUAAUGUAGCCAGAGACGACUUGCCGAUCAGCUCAUUCUCACAACAACAUGCAUGCAUUGGAGAAUGACAAGCUAAGUAUUGCCGGCAAGUCAUCCUUGGCUGCACCACACGCCUCAUUUCCACAUGCAAGACUUUAGAUGAAAAAACCAUAACAUAAUUUAAAAAUAAAGUCGCACAAUAAUAUGACCAACCAAUCAAAUAGAUCCAAAUGUGUAAGAAACCAAGAAGAAAAAAAGAUAGAAAAAGAAAAGUGGAGGCAGGGUAGGAAUUUCCCAAAGAAGCAAGACAACAUUCCCUUGUAGAAAAAUGGAAACUCAACCCUCUACUUAUUUCAACAAGAAAACAAGGCGUUGUCCCAAAGAGGGAAGGAAAGCUUUGGAAACAGACAGAGAAGAAGAAGCCGAUUGGACUGCAAAGCCUCUUGGCAGUGUUUGGACGAAUGAACAUAGAUAUAUAGCCAUAGAGAGAGAGAGAGAGCCUAGCUUGCUCAUAAAUAAAUAAAGAAUUUGGCAAAAGCUGUUUUCUCUUGUUUCCAUAACACUCUAAGUAAGUAUUAAUGAUCUCAGCUUUUGUACAAAGCAGAAGCAGAUCCAGAACUGUCCGAUCAAAGUCCCUUAUCCAAUGGACAGGAAUCUGUGAGGAAAAUGAGUAAUUUAGAUGGAGUUUUUCGUGGGUGCAUAAACCGAAGAGUUUGGAUGUGACUUUGCAUGGGUGCAUAAACCAAAGAGAUAUUAAGCCGAAAGAUACAUCUCCAUCACCUAAUGUUCACUUUCUUCCUGCUUUUCUGAGAAGCCAUUCAAGUCAUGGCGUAGCUUUUGAUUUGAUUUGAUUGCUUAAAUUGAAUGAAUGGUAUGGCAUGGCUCUCUUCAGAUUCAGAAGGUGUCCCUCGUCGGGUAGGAAUGAGUUAGGUGAAGUGAGUCAAUUUACUACAUUUGGCCGCAUCCCAACCAAUUUGAGUUUCAGAUUGUGUGGUCCCUAAACUUAGAUUGUCUUUACCCCAAAAUGCUUGCUAUUAUCUGAUCUUAUGCUACAUGACUAGGUCCU